CCAAGCGUUAUCCGGAUUUAUUGGGCGUAAAGCGAGCGCAGACGGUUGUUUAAGUCUGAAGUGAAAGCCCACAGCUUAACUGUGGAAGUGCUUUGGAAACUGGAUGACUUGAGUGCAGUAGAGGAGCGUGGAACUCCAUGUGUAGCGGUGCAAUGCGUAGAUAUAUGGAAGAACACCAGUGGCGAAGGCGGCUCUCUGGACUGUAACUGACGUUGAGGCUCGAAAGUGUGGGUAGCAAACAGGAUUAGAUACCCUGGUAGUCCACACCGUAAACGAUGAGUGCUAGAUGUUUGAGGGUUUCCGCCCUUAAGUGUCGCAGCUAACGCAUUAAGCACUCCGCCUGGGGAGUACGACCGCAAGGUUGAAACUCAAAGGAAUUGACGGGGACCCGCACAAGCGGUGGAGCAUGUGGUUUAAUUCGAAGCAACGCGAAGAACCUUACCAGCUCUUGACAUCCUUUGACCACUUCAGAAAUGAAGCUUUCCCUUCGGGGACAAAGUGACAGGUGGUGCAUGGUUGUCGUCAGCUCGUGUCGUGAGAUGUUGGGUUAAGUCCCGCAACGAGCGCAACCCUUAUUACUAGUUGCCAGCAUUUAGUUGGGCACUCUAGUGAGACUGCCGGUGACAAACCGGAGGAAGGUGGGGAUGACGUCAAAUCAUCAUGCCCCUUAUGAGCUGGGCUACACACGUGCUACAAUGGCAAGUACAACGAGCAGCUAACCCGCGAGGGUACGCGAAUCUCUUAAAACUUGUCUCAGUUCGGAUUGUAGGCUGCAACUCGCCUACAUGAAGUCGGAAUCGCUAGUAAUCGCGGAUCAGCACGCCGCGGUGAGUACGUUCCCGGGUCUUGUACACACCGCCCGUCACACCAUGAGAGUUUGUAACACCCAAAGCCGGUGAGGUAACCUUUUAGGAGC
rnacentral:rRNA from 1 species